UAUGAAAUAAUGCGUGUGAACGUAAACGUACUAAGUGAUCGAUUGACCGACAACCAAUUAGAAUGUCGUUGUUGAGGAAACGUUGUGCGGAGUGGGCGGGGAGAGAACGACAGACAGACCGCUUCACAAACUGCCACUUUCUCUCACAGUCGCCCUAGUAGGAGAACCUGUUUUCACACUUCUGACCCUCGACAUGUCAAACAACAACGCCAGCAGCAACCUGGUCGUCGCUCAGAGAGUAGUGAAACAGCUGCGGUUGGAGGCCAGUGUCCGGAGGAUCAAGGUGUCUCAAGCUGCGGUGGACCUGAAGAACUACUGUCUGCAGAACGCUCACCAGGACCCUCUCCUGAUGGGGGUACCCUCCAGUGACAACCCCUUCAGACCCCCCAAGUCCUGCAGCCUGUUCUGAGGUAGCCUAGAACACCUUCGUCCACUCUCUUCCUCCUCCUCUUCUCGGCAGGUCGCAUCAAGGUUAGAGCAUUGGACCAGUAACCAAAAGGUCUCUGGUUCGGACACCGGAGCCGACAAGCCCCUCUGUCUCUCUCUGCAGCAGCAGUCAGUGUAUGGAGGAGGAGUUGUUGCUGUAUGUCCUAUGAAGGACCCUUCCUCUUCUCUCUCUACUGCUGGUCCAUUUGUGUGCUGCAGCUAUCCCAAUGUUAACCUCUAGCCUGAUCCCAGAUCUGGCAUGCCAAGGCACGACAAUGACCAUAUAGAAGUUGGCAAGACCGCACAAACAGAUCUGGGACCAGGCUAGACAGUCCAUGUAUUAAGAUAAAGCCUAGUAGUGCCAUUAUACAUGUAUGUUCAGGAUGUUGAUGUGUUAUCCUAUUUGUUAUGAUGACAUUGUAUUAGGGUUGUAACUUCCUGAAAAUUCCCCAGUUUUCCAGAAAUUCCUGUUGGAAGAUUCCUGGAAUCAGGAGGGAAUAAGCAGAAAAUCCAGGAAUCUUCUACUGGAAUUUCUGGAAAAUCUGGCAAGUUUUGGAAAGUUACAAUGUAGGGUUGCAGAACUACAGUAUCUAUGCACUGUACUUUCCACCAGUAUGAUAUCAGCCUCUGACAGGCAGGCAGCCCGUAAAUGUGCCUUUGAGGUUGUCUCUUUGUUUCUCCCAAAUCGCACCCUAUUCCCUAUAUAGUGCACUACUUUUGACCAGAGCCCUAUAGUGCAGUACAUAGAGAAUAGGGUGUUAUUUGGGAUGCAACUUAUGUGUCCGACGACAUGUACAGCACAAUAAGGAAGUGACCAACAGUUGAAUGUUUUAACCAGGGUAUGUAUUGAUAUUUAGCCUACAGUUCUAGCCUAUUGGCCUACAUGCUGUCUUGUCACCCUCUAUUGCUUGUGUUCCACAUGCAGUAUACUUCCUGGUACAAACUACCACAUGGUACAGGUUGACAUUCUCGACCCAGGGAUACAGAACCAUAGAAUUAGAAUAUAGAAUUCAUGCAGAACACUAACCACAUAUCCCCAGUUGUACUCUAUACAAGAGACUGGCAGUUACAUGUUUCUUUUAAACUUUCGUCUAUUUUAUUUAAGAUUUUAUGAAAUAAUCAGCCUUUUUAUCGAAGGGUUCGUUCAUUCGGUUAUGAUGAUACUGAUGUGAUCUUAAAUGUUACAUUGUUGUGCCCUCCUGUACCUUUUUUAGGAAGACACUCCUGUCCUGGCCUUUCUCCCUGGAUAUGCUCAUGUCCUUCUCACGUUUUUCCACUAGCCUACAUUCAGUCACCGAUAACACUAUAGCACAUUUUCCACUAGUCUACAUUCAGUCACCGAUAACACUAUAGCACAUUUUCCACUAGCCUACAUUCAGUCACCGAUAACACUAUAGCACAUUUUCCACUAGCCUACAUUCAGUCACCGAUAACACUAUAGCACAUUUUCCACUAGCCUACAUUCAGUCACCGAUAACACUAUAGCACAUUUUCCACUAGCCUACAUUCAGUCACAGAUAACACAUGGGAACGUAUUUAACUAAGACAAACAACUCAUUUCCAUAUGCCACAGCUGGUGCUUCAGCUUGUUUCAGGUUACUGAUUAGCCACAUCACCAUCACUGCCAUUUUUAUGAUUCCAUCAGCCUAUAUCACAGUUUUUCUUUUUAUCGUUGAACUGUCUAGCCUAGCUACCUGCCUGAAUGAUGAGUUUUAAUUUGAUACCUGAUAUACUGUCGAUCCUCUGUGCCUUAACUAACUUUGUAACUGUGUUUCCAACAUAGUAAAUCACAUUUACCACUA